ACCUGGGUUUGACAUGGAUCGGGAGUGCUCAGAGAUGGGUGUGCCUCUUUUGGGGUCGGUUCACAGGUGGUGCAUGGCUGUCGUCAGCUCGUGUCGUGAGAUGUUGGGUUAAGUCCCGCAACGAGCGCAACCCUCGUGUUUAGUUGCCAUCAUUAAGUUGGGCACUCUAAACAGACUGCCGGUGACAAACCGGAGAAGUGGGAUGACGUCAAGUCAGCAUGCCCCCGUGACGCGGCCG
rnacentral:rRNA from 1 species